UAUAAAUUAGCAAAUAAUUCCUUCUAUGUACAAAACGACAUAAACUAAAAAACUGAACGAAACUAACAUCUCUACUACGGUAGUUUAAGAAAUUACUGCUGGGCGACGUUAAAGUCACUCUUGUCGAUGGACGAAUAAGGUAUCAGCUAACCUCUGUGUGAUCCGAGAUCAGAAUACGAAUGGGCAAUUUCCUGGGAAUGUUUUAUAGGAGGUCAGUCCCAGAUAUGUCUGACCCAUCCCUCACUACCUGGCCCCUACUGUAUUAACUACACUACUUGUACUCAGACGGAUCUAAGUUAGCUACGAAGCUACUAGGUAGUUGAGGAGGAAUCU